AUUGAACGCUGGCGGCAGGCCUAACACAUGCAAGUCGAACGAGUGGCGGACGGGUGAGUAAUGUCUGGGAAACUGCCUGAUGGAGGGGGAUAACUACUGGAAACGGUAGCUAAUACCGCAUACCAUCGGAUGUGCCCAGAUGGGAUUAGCUAGUAGGUGGGGUAAAGGCUCACCUAGGCGACGAUCCCUAGCUGGUCUGAGAGGAUGACCAGGCACGCUGGAACUGGGACACGGGCCAGACUCCUACGGGGGGCAGCAGUGGGGAAUAUUUGACAAUGGGCGCAAGCCUGGUGCAGCCAUGCCGGGGGUAGGGAGAAGGCCUUCGGGGUGUAAAGGCCUUUCAGCGGGGAGGCGUUGCCCGCAGGAGAAGGACCGGCUAACUCCGGGGCAGCAGCCGGGGUAAUUC
rnacentral:rRNA from 1 species